rnacentral:rRNA from 1 species
UACGUAGGGUGCAAGCGUUGUCCGGAAUUAUUGGGCGUAAAGAGCUCGUAGGUGGUUCAGUAAGUCGGGUGUGAAACCUCCAGGCUCAACCUGGAGACGCCACCCGAUACUGCUGUGACUAGAGUCCAGUAGGGGAGCAUGGAAUUCCUGGUGUAGCGGUGAAAUGCGCAGAUAUCAGGAGGAACACCAGUGGCGAAGGCGGUGCUCUGGGCUGGAACUGACACUGAGGAGCGAAAGCGUGGGGAGCGAACAGG